rnacentral:rRNA from 1 species
UUUGGUGGCGAUGCGCUUAGGGGAAACACCCGUUCCCAUCCCGAACACGAUGGUUAAGACCUAAGCGGCCGAUGGUACUAUGCUGGAGACAGCAUGGGAGAGUAGGUGGCCGCCAAUU